AUUGAACGCUGGCGGCAGGCCUAACACAUGCAAGUCGAGCGGAGCGGCGGACGGGUGAGUAAUGCCUAGGAAUCUGCCUGGUAGUGGGGGAUAACGUCCGGAAACGGGCGUUAAUACCGCAUACUAUCAGAUGAGCCUAGGUCGGAUUAGCGAGGUGGUGGGGUAAAGGCCUACCAAGGCGACGCUCCGUAACUGGUCGGAGCGGAUGAUCAGUCAAACUGGAACUGGGACACGGUCCAUCCUCCAACGGGGGGCAGCAGUGGGGAAUAUUGGACAAUGGGCGAAAGCCUGAUCCAGCCAUUCCGGGUGUGUGAAGAGGGUCUGCGGAUUGUAAGGCACUUUAAGUUGGGAGGCGUUACCGACAGACUAAGCGCCGGCUAACUUCGUGCCAGCAGCCGCGGUAAUAC
rnacentral:rRNA from 1 species